ACACCGAUGGUGAAGCGGUUAUCAUGCUUGCCUUCCAUGCUUCGUGGGCAUCGAGUGGUGAGCAAGCGGCAGGGGUUCGACUCCCCUUCGGUGUA